rnacentral:rRNA from 1 species
GACGAACGCUGGCGGCGUGCCUAAUACAUGCAAGUCGAACGCAGUGGGGACGGGUGAGUAACACGUGGGUAACCUCCCCAGCAGAGGGGAUAACACUUGGAAACAGGUGCUAAACCGAUAUUGACGGAUGGACCCGCUGUGCAUUAGCUAGUUGGUGGGGAAACGGCGCACCAAGGCCACGAUGCAUAGCCGACUUGAGAGGGUGAUCGGCCACACUGGGACUGAGACACGGCCAAGACUCCUACGGGAGGCAGCAGUAGGGAAUGUUGGGCAAUUGACGAAAGUCUGAACGAGCAACGCCGCGUGAGUGAAGAAGGUUUUCGGAUCGUAAAACUCUGUUGUUAGAGAAGCGGUAUCUAACCAGAAAGCCACGGCUAACUACGUGCCAGCAGCCGCGGUAAUUC